rfam:Heterocephalus glaber contig184422, whole genome shotgun sequence.
GGUGUAGCUCAAUGGUUGAGCACAUGCUUAGCAUACAUGAGGCCCUGGGUUUGGUUUCCAGCACC